rnacentral:tRNA from 1 species
UCCGGUAUGGUGUAGUGGCUAACAUUUCGCGCUCUCACAAUUUGAGAGAUCAAGUUCCGCGGAGCCCAGGGUUCGAUUCCCUGUACCGGAG